GGCUUAAGAGGAGGGGUGAGAAAAAGUCGUAUAAAAGGCGAGAGAAAAGUCGAUACAGGGAACAGUCGUGUGAGCAUCUCCGACACGGCAACAACUGCAGUGUACUUUUGCCAUCAGCUUUCAGCUAUCUGCCAUCGUCAGUUCUUAAUCAUGGUUGUAUUUAAGGAGAAAGAAAAGGCGAAAGAAAUCAGUCGAGUGAGCAUCUCCGAUAUGCAAGAGUUGCAGUGCGCCAUUCAUCACCAACUGCAUUCUUCGUCGCUUUACCAGUUUCAAUCAUGGUCGUUUAAAGGGAGAGAAAAGGCGGUAGAAUUCAUUCGUAUCUCCGACAUGGGAGCAGCAAAUGCAGUGCACUAUUUUACAUCAACUGCAUUCUUCGUCGAAGUGCUAGUUUUAAAUCAUGGUAAACUUUGGCGUCGCGUGCUGCUGUUGGGUGUUGUAUAGUUGACGGCUGGUUCAGCCAUGGUGUACCAAUGUCUCCUGGGUAUGGCCGUAACAAAUCGCAACGCCGCCACCUUACUACACAACAUACGACACAACCAGUUGCUACACCAAGGCCCCCAAGUACUACACCACCAAGGCUCCACAUUAUUGUACCACAACUUAUGCUGCCUGAGCUACUACACCGAAGCCCCGAAGCAUUGUUCUUCCCCGAGCUACACUACCAGAGGUUCGAGUACUACACCGAUGCUCUGAAGUACUACACCACCACGGCACCAAAGUACUGCACCACCAAGGCACCGGAGUACUGCACUACUACAUAUCAUGGUCGUAUGAAAGGAGAGAAAAGGUGAAAGAAUUCAGCAGCCGAGUGAGCAUUUCCGUUACAGCAACAGGAACUGCCGUGCACUAGUUGUCAUCAACUUCAUUCUUCGUGGCGUUACAAGUGUUUAAUAAAGUUAACUAUGGUGGCGUGCUGCUGUUGGGUGUUGUAUCGUUGAUGGCUGGGUCGACCACUGGUGUGCCGAUUUCUCCUGGGUAUGGUGGGCAUGAAUAACAACAUACGCAACAACCGGUCACUACACUGAGGCCCCUAAGUGCUACACCACCAAGGCUCCAGAUUAUUACACCACAGUUUAUGUUGGUCCGAGCUAUUCGCAGAAGCUCCGAAGUAUUUUUCUUCGCCAAGCUUCGCUACCUUCACCACGCCGCCUCCUUCCUAAACAAUAACGUCAACACUUUCUUACUAUACGAAGGCCUCCAAGUACUACGCCACGAAGGCUUCUGACUACUAUACCGAGGAUCUAACUUGUUACAUCAUCGAAGUUCUCAAGUACUUCACUACCCCCUACGUUGCCCCAGCUUACACCACGCAGGCACCGGAGUACUACACCAGGCAGGCACCGGAGUACUACACCAGGCAGGCACCGGAGUACUACACCAGGCAGGCACCGGAGUACUACACCAGGCAGGCACCGGAGUACUACACCAGGCAGGCACCGGAGUACUACACCAGGCAGGCACCGGAGUACUACACCAGGCAGGCACCGGAGUACUACACCAGGCAGGCACCGGAGUACUACACGUUAAACCGAGGCUCCAGUUUACUACACUACAACCUACGCUGCUCAAAACAACUACAUUGAUGCUCCAAAGUACUACACCACCAAGGCAUCCGAGCAUACACUACCACUACACCUACCACUACCACUACUUACGCUACCGCCACCUGCUACACCGAAGUUCCGAAAGCAGUACUCUGGCCCGAGUUACUACACCACUUAGGCAGCCGAAUAUUACACCAUAAACUACGAUUCCGCAAUUUUCUACAAGGAAUUUCCUAAAUAGAGCCGAAAUUUCUACUUCAGAUUAUUUAUAUUUGUCGGUUAUUUCCAUGGCCAAUGCCCAAUGGUCACUGGGAAUUAAUCGUUGACCUUUAAUGAGAAAAUAAAAGUUUUAAUGCGGGUAA